AUUGAAACACCAAUUCUUAUAUGAUCACCCAAGUUAAGCAAUGUCAAGCCUGUUUAGUACUUAGAUGUAUGACCAGUUGGGAAUACCAAGUGCUGGAA